rnacentral:rRNA from 1 species
UACAGAGGUCUCAAGCGUUGUUCGGAUUCAUUGGGCGUAAAGGGUGCGUAGGUGGCGCGGUAAGUCGGGUGUGAAAUCUCGGGGCUUAACUCCGAAACUGCAUUCGAUACUACCGUGCUUGAGGACUGGAGAGGAGACUGGAAUUUACGGUGUAGCGGUGAAAUGCGUAGAUAUCGUAAGGAAGACCAGUGGCGAAGGCGGGUCUCUGGACAGUUCCUGACGCUGAGGCACGAAGGCCAGGGGAGCAAACAGG